UCAUUUAUCCUUGAGCAGCACUCUACACACACAGACAGACACACAAACACACUACCGUAUACCUCGCUUGCGCAUGCACACCGAGCCACCGACUUUGUUUAGCUUUGGCCUCAAUAAGUUCUGCGCUGUUUUCUUUUUGAUCGAGAGACCACUGUGGCCUGAUCUGCCGCUGAACUGCAUCUGUACAGUAUAUAUACAACCAGGGAAAUUUUCAAGCAUGUGAUUAAAUAAAUACUUACGUUUAACUUGAUCCUUACAGAAGUUUUUAACCAGCUGACUCUUUACCAGCUGAUUAUGUUCUGACAAGGUAAAAAACGAAAGUAUGGUUAAUAAUUAUAGCACACCUCUCGUGUGGUAAAAAAUCAUCUUGAAGGCAUCGUAAGCGGCUGUAGAUGAUGUACAGAUGUACAUAAACUGCUGUCUGGUGACCCUGGCUUUCUGCUUGUGACCAUCGCUUCCAGAUGAAAGGUAGACUUGUUCCUCCAUGUGUUUUUGCUGUGCUAGAACUGUCUUUAGCAUUCUAGCAUUCCUUGUUGUUGUUGUAGGAGUGAUAUUAUAUCAGUCUGUGGCCGGGUCUGCCUAUUUGGCGUCCAGUAGUUUCACUAACAGGGGAAAACCACUGGCAGGGGAAAACCACUAGCAGGAGGUGUGGGUGUCCAAUUGGUCGUCUUCUUUCAUUUGGACCAUAAGCAGAUAAGAGGCCUAACUCAGUCGAAUCAGUUAUCAAAACCAUCUUCAUUGUCAAUGUCACUGUCGAGAUGAAGAAGAAGACGUCAAAAAAACCCUGGCGUGGCAUGUAAUGUAAUGUUGUGAUUCUGAACGUGCAGCAUUGGCUUGAUAUCUCCCUUGGUUGUUCUCUGACGUCUUCUUGGUGUAACACCACUGCAUAACACCACUGCAUAUGCAUCUACGUCUACUGCAGCACCACCAGCUCCUGAUCCUCGACCUCCAGACAUUUUGUGUGAAAAAGUUUGGCGCCUUUUAUGACCUUUGUAGCUGCACCCUGCAAGACCAAUUAUCCAUGCCAGGCCCCACCCUAUUUCCAAUUAUAACAAGCCGUAAGUGCAAUCAAGAACCUCUGCAAUACUCUUAGCAAUAUUUUGAUCAGGAUACUAAACGUUGAUGAGUUUUAGAUGCUGCUGUGUUCUUCGCUGAAGAAAGUAAGCAGUAGCUUUUAGCUGAUACACAGUUGUUGUUCAUACAUAGCUAGCUAUAGUUUCUCUAUGGACAUGGACGAUGAUGACUCUGAUUCUCCAGAUCCUGUUGACCCAGUGUGACCCAAAUGAAGCUGAUGAACAUGCUCAUGCUCUGAGUGGUAAUGAGGCAUCGUAUAAGUAAUUCUUGGGAAAUGAAUAGCGAUGAAUUGAAGAUGAAGAGUUAGAGCAUCAAGAACCUCGAUUGAACGGCACAGCUCUCACAGCAAAAGCGCUAGUCAUAAACGGGCAACGUGCACGCACAUUCAGUUCAAAGUGCAAGAACACUGAAGAUCAAGAAUGGAUGUAAAUAAUGAAACACAAGCUACAAGACAAAGACUAAUAAAAAUAAGACUAUCACAAGUUAUAAGUUCAUUACUCUGUCUUCCAAGAUUGUUUGUGGUGUAUACUGUUGUUACUGCCUCAUGAGAUCUUAAUAAAGUAUCUUUACAAAGCUGGAGUGCGACUGUCCAUUUCUUCAGAGUCAAGGUAUCGAAGAAUAAUGUCUUACGCAUAAUUAGUGUGGUUGCUCUUGUAAGACUGUCGGAGUCAAGGUAUCUACAAAUCGGAAGAA